rnacentral:rRNA from 1 species
GAUGAACGCUAGCGGCAGGCCUAAUACAUGCAAGUCGAACGGUAAAUGUCCCUUCGGGGAUAUGAGAGUGGCGCACGGGUGCGUAACGCGUAUGCAACCUACCCAAUGCUGGCGGAUAGCCCGAAGAAAUUCGGAUUAACCCGUCAUGAGGAGCUGAAUGGGCAUCCAUAUGGUUUCAAAUAUUUAUAGGCGUUGGAUGGGCAUGCGUGCUAUUAGAUAGUUGGCGGGGUAACGGCCCACCAAGUCGACGAUCAGUAGCCGACCUGAGAGGGUGACCGGCCACAUUGGGACUGAGACACGGCCCAAACUCCUACGGGAGGCAGCAGUGGGGAAUAUUGCACAAUGGGGGAAACCCUGAUGCAGCGACGCCGCGUGAGUGAAGAAGUAUUUCGGUAUGUAAAGCUCUAUCAGCAGGGAGAAAAUGACGGUACCUGACUAAGAAGCCCCGGCUAACUACGUG